GGAAGUAAAAGCGUAACAAGGUUUCCGUAGGUGAACCUGCGGAAGGAUCAUUCAUAAUAAGUGUUUUAUGGCACUUUUUUAAAUCCAUAUCCACCUUGUGUGCAAUGUCAGGGUUGAUUUUUCUCUCGAGAGGAUCAACCCCAAACAUCAACUAUAUCUCAACUCUUUGUCUGAAAAAUAUUAUGAAUAAAACAAUUCAAAAUACAACUUUCAACAACGGAUCUCUUGGCUCUC
rnacentral:misc_RNA from 1 species